rnacentral:rRNA from 1 species
ACGAACGCUGGCGGCGUGCUUAACACAUGCAAGUCGAACGGAAAGGCCCCUUUGGGGGUACUCGAGUGGCGAACGGGUGAGUAACACGUGAGUAACCUGCCCUUGACUUCGGGAUAACUUCAGGAAACUGGGGCUAAUACCGGAUAGGAAUCCUUGCUGCAUGGGGGGGGUUGGAAAGCUUCGGCGGUUUUGGAUGGACUCGCGGCUUAUCAGCUUGUUGGUGGGGUAGUGGCUUACCAAGGCUUUGACGGGUAGCCGGCCUGAGAGGGCGACCGGCCACAUUGGGACUGAGAUACGGCCCAGACUCCUACGGGAGGCAGCAGUGGGGAAUAUUGCACAAUGGGCGGAAGCCUGAUGCAGCAACGCCGCGUGCGGGAUGACGGCCUUCGGGUUGUAAACCGCUUUCAGCAGGGGCGAAGCUUGUGGUGACGGUACCUGCAGAAGAAGCACCGGCUAACUACGUG